GUCAUGCAGAUGAGGAGACACAAGAUAUGGGUAAUUUGCAUCUGAGGCAUCUCUAUGAUGUCACACCCUCUUUCACCUUGGAGAUCUGAUGUGCGUC
rnacentral:snoRNA from 1 species